rnacentral:rRNA from 1 species
UAUAGGAUUUGGGUCCUAUUAUGUUGGCCUUUGGGAUCAGAGUAAUGAUUAAUAGUUACAAUCGGAGACAAUCAUAUUUCAUAGUCAGAGAUGAAAUUCUUGGAUUUAUAAAAGAUGAACAACUGCAAAAGCAUUUGCCAAGGAUGUUCUCAUUAAUCAAGAAUGAAAGUUGGGGGCUCGAAGAUGAUUAGAUAUCAUCCUUGUCUCAACUAUAAACGAUGCC